CCUACGUGAGGCAGCAGUGAGGAAUAUUGGUCAAUGGGCGAGAGCCUGAACCAGCCAAGUCGCGUGAAGGAUGACGGCCCUACGGGUUGUAAAUUUCUUCAGUCAGGGAGCAAUUGUGUCCACGUGUGGUCUUAGCGAGAGUACCUGAAGGAAAAGCAUCGACUAACUCAGUGCCAGCGGCCGCGGUAAUACGGAGGAUCCGAGCGUUAGCCGGAUGUAUUGGGUUGAAGGGGUACGUAGGCGGGCUUUUAAGUCAGCAGUGAAAGUCUGUGGCUCAACCAUGGAAUUGCCGUGGAAACUGGGAGGCUUGAGUAUGUUAGAGGCAGGCAGAAUGCGAGGUGUAGCGGUGAAAUGCUGAGAUAUCUCGCAGAACCCCGAUGGCGAAGGCAGCCUGCCAAGCCAUGACUGACGCUGAUGCGCGAAAGCGUGGGGAUCAAACAGGAUUAGAUACCCCAGUAGUC
rnacentral:rRNA from 1 species